rnacentral:rRNA from 1 species
UACGUAGGGUGCAAGCGUUGUCCGGAAUUACUGGGCGUAAAGGGCGCGUAGGCGGCGCAACAAGUCACUUGUGAAAUCUCCGGGCUUAACCCGGAGCGGCCAAGUGAUACUGUCGUGCUAGAGUGCGGAAGGGGCUACUGGAAUUCUCGGUGUAGCGGUGAAAUGCGUAGAUAUCGAGAGGAACACCUGCGGCGAAGGCGGGUAGCUGGGCCGACACUGACGCUGAGGCGCGAAAGCCAGGGGAGCGAACGGG